rnacentral:rRNA from 1 species
GCGGCAAACGGGUGAGUAAUAUCUGGGAAUCUACCCAAAAGAGGGGGAUAACUACUAGAAAUGGUAGCUAAUACCGCAUAAAGUUGAAAAACCAAAGUGGGGGACCUUUAGGCCUCAUGCUUUUGGAUGAGCCCAGAGGAGAUUAGCUUGUUGGUAAGGUAAAAGCUUACCAAGGCAACGAUCUCUAGCUGGUCUGAGAGGAUAGCCAGCCACACUGGAACUGAGACACGGUCCAGACUCCUACGGGAGGCAGCAGUGGGGAAUAUUGCACAAUGGGCGAAAGCCUGAUGCAGCUAUGCCGCGUGUAUGAAGAAGGCCUUAGGGUUGUAAAGUACUUUCAGCGGGGAGGAAAAAAAUAAAACUAAUAAUUUUAU